GUGAAUCAUCGAAUUUUUGAACGCAAAUUGCACUCUCUUCGGAGAGUAUGCCUGUUUGAGUUUCAGCCUAAAAAAAAUCGACAUAGUUGCUGUUUCGCGGUGACAUUCGUCGGUAAUUGGGUCAUCUUAAACCUUUGGGUUGAAUCGGCUUAAAAUGUUCCUUACGAUUCCACGAACGUUUCUAAGAUUUUACUUCUUACACGUUUAAGGUAUCGAUCUUUAUUAGACGGGGCCGUUGCAUCGGAUCACGACCAUAAAUAGUGCGU
rnacentral:misc_RNA from 1 species